UACAGAGGUCUCGAGCGUUGUUCGGAUUCAUUGGGCGUAAAGGGCGCGUAGGCUGCGGGGCAAGUCGGGUGUGAAAUCUCAGAGCUCAACUCUGAAACUGCACUCGAUACUGCUUUGCUUGAGGACUGGAGAGGAGAUUGGAAUUCACGGUGUAGCAGUGAAAUGCGUAGAUAUCGUUUGGAACGCCAAUGGUGAAAACAGGUAGCUGGGAGUGUGCCGACGCUGAGACACGAAAGCCAGGGGAGCGAACGGG
rnacentral:rRNA from 1 species